rnacentral:rRNA from 1 species
UUCCUGCGCAACGUUAAUCGACGCAGGGUUAGUCGGUUCCUAAGGCGAGGCUGAAAAGCGUAGUCGAUGGGAAACAGGUUAAUAUUCCUGUACUUCUGGUUACUGCGAUGGAGGGACGGAGAAGGCUAGGCCAGCUUGGCGUUGGUUGUCCAAGUUUAAGGUGGUAGGCUGAAAUCUUAGGUAAAUCCGGGGUUUCAAGGCCGAGAGCUGAUGACGAGUCGUCUUUUAGAUGACGAAGUGGUUGAUGCCAUGCUGCCAAGAAAAGCUUCUAAGCUUCAGGUAACCAGGAACCGUACCCCAAACCGACACAGGUGGUCGGGUAGAGAAUACCAAGGCGCUUGAGAGAACUCGGGUGAAGGAACUAGGCAAAAUGGCACCGUAACUUCGGGAGAAGGUGCGCCGGCUAGGGUGAAGGAUUUACUCCGUAAGCUCUGGCUGGUCGAAGAUACCAGGCCGCUGCGACUGUUUAUUAAAAACACAGCACUCUGCAAACACGAAAGUGGACGUACAGGGUGUGACGCCUGCCCGGUGCCGGAAGGUUAAUUGAUGGGGUUAGCGCAAGCGAAGCUCUUGAUCGAAGCCCCGGUAAACGGCGGCCGUAACAAUAACGGUCCUAAGGUAGCGAAAUUCCUUGUCGGGUAAGUUCCGACCUGCACGAAUGGCGUAACGAUGGCGGCGCUGUCUCCACCCGAGACUCAGUGAAAUUGAAAUCGCUGUGAAGAUGCAGUGUAUCCGCGGCUAGACGGAAAGACCCCGUGAACCUUUACUGUAGCUUUGCACUGGACUUUGAGCCUGCUUGUGUAGGAUAGGUGGGAGGCUUUGAAGCGUGGACGCCAGUUCGCGUGGAGCCAUCCUUGAAAUACCACCCUGGCAUGCUUGAGGUUCUAACUCUGGUCCGUAAUCAGGAUCGAGGACAGUGUAUGGUGGGCAGUUUGACUGGGGCGGUCUCCUCCUAAAGAGUAACGGAGGAGUACGAAGGUGCGCUCAGACCGGUCGGAAAUCGGUCGCAGAGUAUAAAGGCAAAAGCGCGCUUGACUGCGAGACAGACACGUCGAGCAGGUACGAAAGUAGGUCUUAGUGAUCCGGUGGUUCUGUAUGGAAGGGCCAUCGCUCAACGGAUAAAAGGUACUCCGGGGAUAACAGGCUGAUACCGCCCAAGAGUUCAUAUCGACGGCGGUGUUUGGCACCUCGAUGUCGGCUCAUCACAUCCUGGGGCUGAAGCCGGUCCCAAGGGUAUGGCUGUUCGCCAUUUAAAGUGGUACGCGAGCUGGGUUUAGAACGUCGUGAGACAGUUCGGUCCCUAUCUGCCGUGGACGUUUGAGAUUUGAGAGGGGCUGCUCCUAGUACGAGAGGACCGGAGUGGACGAACCUCUGGUGUUCCGGUUGUCACGCCAGUGGCAUUGCCGGGUAGCUAUGUUCGGAAAAGAUAACCGCUGAAAGCAUCUAAGCGGGAAACUUGCCUCAAGAUGAGAUCUCACUGGGAACUUGAUUCCCCUGAAGGGCCGUCGAAGACUACGACGUUGAUAGGCUGGGUGUGUAAGCGUUGUGAGGCGUUGAGCUAACCAGUACU